AUGUUUUUGACUCGGUCAAGAACGCCACCGAUGUUAAUUUGCUCCAUAAGGCAACCAACAAUGUGAUUGCCAACAUAAAGGAAGUUGCAAGCAAAGAAUCUUCAUUUCAUUUUGAUCUUGAUUGCUUUGAGAAGGUCACCCCAGAUCACCCGAAGCAAUUAACGCAUUAUAAUUGUGGCUUCUAUGCAAUUCUUUUCUUGGAAAACUUCGAUGGUGUUGUCAUGAAGCAUUUCAAUGAG